AAUGGCAGAAUAGUGCAAUGGAUUUAAACUCCAUAUAUAAAGUUUAUACUUUUUUUAGAA
rnacentral:tRNA from 1 species